rnacentral:tRNA from 1 species
GAGGGUAUAGCUCAGUGGCAGAGCACAUGCUUAACAUGCACGAGGUCCUGGGUUCAAUUCCCCAGUACCUCCA